UACGUAGGGGGCAAGCGUUGUCCGGAAUCAUUGGGCGUAAAGGGCGCGUAGGCGGCGCGGGGAGUCAACGGUGAAAGCUCGGCGCUCAACGCCGAGUCGGCCGUCGAUACUCCCGUGCUCGAGCACUGUAGAGGCAGGUGGAAUUCCGGGUGUAGCGGUGAAAUGCGUAGAUAUCGGGAGGAACACCAGUGGCGAAGGCGAUCAUCUGGGGUUGUUCUGACACUGAGGAGCGAAAGCUAGGGGAGCAAACGGG
rnacentral:rRNA from 1 species